GACGGGUGAGUAACACGUAGGUAACCUACCCCAGAGACAGGGAUAACCCUAGGAAACGAGGGCUAAUACCGGAUGACCUCCGGAAGGAGGAAAGGCUCAGGCGCUCUGGGAGGGGCUUGCGGCCCAUCAGCUAGUUGGUAGGGUAAAGGCCUACCAAGGCGAAGACGGGUAGGGGGUGUGAGAGCACGGCCCCCCACAAUGGGACUGAAACACGGCCCAUACUCCUACGGGAGGCAGCAGCAGGGAAUAUUGCACAAUAGGCGAAAGCCUGAUGCAGCGACGCCGCGUGAGUGAAGAAGGCCUUCGGGUCGUAAAGCUCUUUUGUAGGGGAAGAGGAAGGACGGUACCCUAAGAAGAAGCGUCGGCUAACUACGUGCCAGCAGCCGCGGUAAGACGUAGGACGCGAGCGUUAUCCGGAAUUACUGGGCGUAAAGGGCCAGCAGGCGGCUUGGUAAGUUGUGCGUGAAAGCCUCGUGCUCAACGCGAGGAAGCCGGACAAUACUGUCAAGCUAGAGGGCAUCAGAGGGGAGUGGAAUUCCCGGAGUAGCGGUAAAAUGCGCAGAUAUCGGGAGGAACACCGAUGGCGAAGGCAGCUCCCUGGGAUGCACCUGACGCUAAGAGGCGAAAGCUAGGGGAGCGAACAGGAUUAGAGACCCUGGUAGUCCUAGCUGUAAACGCUGGGUGCUAGGUGUGGGACGUAGAAGUUCCGUGCCGGAGCAAACGCGAUAAGCACCCCGCCUGGGAAUUACGGUCGCAAGGCUAAAACUCAAACGAAUUGACGGGGCCCCGCACAAGCAGCGGAGCGUGUGGUUCAAUUCGAUGCUACACGAAGAACCUUACCUGGGUUUGACAUGUACGUGGUACGAAGGCGAAAGCCUAAGGACCCUUCGGGGAGCGUACACAGGUGCUGCAUGGCUGUCGUCAGCUCGUGCCGUGAGGUCUCGGGUUAAGUCCCGUAACGAGCGCAACCCUUGCCCUUAGUUACAAGUGUCUAAGGGGACUGCCGGCGGGAAGCCGGAGGAAGGUGGGGAUGACGUCAAGUCAGCAUGGCCCUUAUGUCCAGGG
rnacentral:rRNA from 1 species